UAAGGAAUAUUGCUCAAUGGGAGAAAUCCUGAAGCAGCGACGCCGCGUGGAGGAUGAAGGGUCUAUGACUUGUAAACUCCUGUAAAGAAGGAAAAAAUUCCCAUUAGAUGGGAGAUGAUGGUACUUCUGGAGUAAGCCCCGGCUAACUACGUGCCAGCAGCCGCGGUAAUACGGAGGGUGCACGCGUUAUCCGGAUUCACUGGGUUUAAAGGGUGCGUAGGUGGGCAGAUAAGUCAGUGGUGAAAUCUUCCGGCUUAACCGGGAAACUGCCGUCGAUACUAUUUGUCUUGAAUAUUGCGGAAGUAAGCGGAAUUUGUCAUGUAGCGGUGAAAUGCUUAGAUAUGACAUAGAACACCAAUUGCGAAGGCAGCUUACUACACAAUCAUUGACACUGGGGCACGAAAGCGUGGGUAGCGAACA
rnacentral:rRNA from 1 species